UUACAUUCAUACCAAAAAAAAAUAAAAAAUUGACUAGUCUUUCUUCACACUUAUAAACAUUUUUUGUGCAUCUCUAGCACUUGUAAUCAAUCAAAUUCAUUGUAUUAUAGCAUAUUCAAACCCUAAACAACAUUAGACAAGCCAUUUACUGCCUCAAAGCAAUGGUUGUGGGUUUUUAUCUCAUUUGGGACCAAAUUUC
rnacentral:lncRNA from 1 species